GGACGAACCCUUGGAGAGAUCCAAUCCGUCAUUGUUACCCCAAUGGGUAAAUAGGAAAAUGGACGCCGAAGGCGCAAGCGUUAGCUGUUUAGGCAAUGUGAAACGCUCAGGCAAAAGGACAGGGGAGAAAAG
rnacentral:ncRNA from 2 species